rnacentral:rRNA from 1 species
UGCGUAGGCGGUUUCGUGUGUCAGAUGUGAAAUCUCACCGAUCAUCGGUGAAACUGCGUUUGAAACUACGAGGCUAGAGUACAGGAGAGGAGAGUGGAAUUCUUGGUGUAGCGGUGAAAUGCGUAGAUAUCAAGAGGAACACCGGUUGCGAAGGCGGCUCUCUGGAAUGAUACUGACGCUGAGGCACGAAAGCUAGGGGAGCAAACAGAAUUAGAUACUCUGGUAGUCCUAGCCCUAAACGGUGUGCAUUUGAUGUAGGUAGGUUUGUCCCUACCUGUGUCGCAGCUAACGCGUUAAAUGCACCGCCUGAGGAGUACGGUCGCAAGGCUAAA